rnacentral:rRNA from 1 species
UACGAAGGGAGCUAGCGUUGUUCGGAAUCACUGGGCGUAAAGCGCACGUAGGCGGAUGUGUCAGUCAGGGGUGAAAUCCCGGAGCUCAACUUCGGAACUGCCUUUGAUACAGCACGUCUUGAGUCCGAUAGAGGUGGGUGGAAUUCCUAGUGUAGAGGUGAAAUGCGUAGAUAUCUGGAGGAACACCGGUGGCGAAGGCGGCAUUCUGGACCGAUAUUGACGCUGAGGAGCGAAAGCCAGGGGAGCAAACGGG